UACGUAGGGGGCAAGCGUUGUCCGGAUUUAUUGGGCGUAAAGAGCGUGUAGGCGGCCAGGUAGGUCAGCUGUGAAAACUCGAGGCUCAACCUCGAGACGUCGGUUGAAACCAUCUGGCUAGAGUCCGGAAGAGGAGAGUGGAAUUCCUGGUGUAGCGGUGAAAUGCGCAGAUAUCAGGAAGAACACCCGUGGCGAAGACGGCUCUCUGGGACGGUACUGACGCUGAGACGCGAAAGCGUGGGGGAG
rnacentral:rRNA from 1 species